UAAAUAUGUUGAUAUGAGCACCUGUAUGAGUACUUCCGCACACCGGAAGGCGCAUGCAUGCCGUGUUUCGCAUGUCCAGUAGCGACAAUAACAAAAAUGUAAACAAUACUUAAGGUGGCUUUUCAACUAAAAAAUGACUGUAGGCCCCUUUAAAAGACAAUGUCAGUGUUGAAUAACGUAGUGGGCUACUGGGCUUAUAUUCGGGGGACUUAUAUUUGGUGGUCUUAUAUUCUGGGGGCGGG